GACGAACGCUGGCGGCGUGCUUAACACAUGCAAGUUGAACGGAAAGGCCCUGCUUUUGUGGGGUGCUCGAGUGGCGAACGGGUGAGUAACACGUGAGUAACCUGCCCUUGACUUUGGGAUAACUUCAGGAAACUGGGGCUAAUACCGGAUAGGAGCUCCUGCUGCAUGGUGGGGGUUGGAAAGUUUCGGCGGUUGGGGAUGGACUCGCGGCUUAUCAGCUUGUCGGUGGGGUAGUGGCUUACCAAGGCUUUGACGGGUAGCCGGCCUGAGAGGGUGACCGGCCACAUUGGGACUGAGAUACGGCCCAGACUCCUACGGGAGGCAGCAGUGGGGAAUAUUGCACAAUGGGCGGAAGCCUGAUGCAGCAACGCCGCGUGCGGGAUGACGGCCUUCGGGUUGUAAACCGCUUUCGCCUGUGACGAAGCGUGAAUGACGGUAAUGGGUAAAGAAGCACCGGCUAACUACGUG
rnacentral:rRNA from 1 species